rnacentral:lncRNA from 1 species
CACACACACACACACACACACACCCGCUGUUACGGCCCCCACUGCAGACCCCAGAUCCCGCCAGUCCCCGGACUCCUCCCGGCGCCCCAGGUUUCCACGGCCGCCUGCAGCUCCUCGGCUGAGGCUGCGCUUCGUAGGGGCUGCCGGGCUCCGGGACGCAGUCCUGCAGUCUUUUUCUGACUGCAGGACUGACUGCAAGACUUUCUGACUGCAAGACUGCAGGACUGCAGUCUUUUUCACCACCAUUCCUGUGGCCAGUGCCCUGUUGCACACUUGAGCUGCUUCUGAUUUUUUCUUCCUUUUUUUUUUUUUUUUUUUUGCUGUUCAAACAGGACUUCAGGAAUAACCGUGGAAGCGAUGGCGUCUCACUCUGUUGCCCAGGUUGGAGUGCAGUGGUGCAAUUUCAGCUCACUGCAACUUCCGCCUCCCAGAUUCAAGCGAUUCUCCUGCCUCAGCCUCCUGAGUAGCUGGGAUUACAGGCGCGCCACCACACUCAGCUAAUUUUUGUAUUUUUAGUAGAAACAGGGUUUCACCAUGUUAGGCGGCUCUCGAACUCCUGAUCUCGUGAUCUGCCCACCUCAGCCUCCCAAAGUGUUGGGACUACAGGUGUGAGCCACUGCGCCCGGCCCAUUGGGUAUAUUUUUAAAUGUCAUAUACUCAGUUUUAUAUAUACUCGGCCUCCCAGAGUGCUGGGAUUACAGGCAUGAGUCACCGCACCUGGCCUUUUAUUUUUUAAACAGCUUUACUGACAUAUAAUUCACAUACCAUAUAAUUCACCUAUUUUAAGUGUACAAGUAAAUGAGUUUGGUUAUCCUAUUUUUUUUAAAUUGUGGUAAAUAUAUGUAACACAAACUUUAUCACUUUAACCUUUUUUUUUUUUUUUUUUGAGAUAGAGUCUUGCUCUGUCACCCAGGCUGGAGUGCAGUGGUGUGAUCACAGCUCACUGCAACCUCCACCUCCCCAGCCUUAGUGAUCCUCCCACCUCAGCCUCCCAAGUAGCUGGGACCACAUGGGCGUGCCACCACACCCGGUUAAUUUUUGUAUUUUUUGCAGAGACAGAUUUUUUGCCAUGUUGCUUAGGCUGAUCUUGAACUCCUAAUCUCAAGCCAUUUGCCCACCUCAGCCUCCCAAAGUGCUGGGAUUACAGGUGUGAGCUACUGCACCCAGCCCAUUUUAACCAUUUUUAAAAAUUUUUUAUUUCAAUACCUUUGGGGGGUACAGGUGGUUUUUGGUUACAUGGAUAAGUUCUUUAGUGGUGAUUUCUGAGAUUUUGGUGCAUCCGUCACCCGAAGGAGUGUACCCAAAGUGUAGUCUUUUAUCCUUCACCAUUUUAACCAUUUUUAAAGUUUAUAAUUCAGUGACACUAAGUACAUUCAUAGCAUUGUGAAACCAUUGCUACUUUCUAGCUCCAAAACUUUUUCAUCACCCCAGACAGAAACUCUGUGCUCAUUAAGCAAUAAUUCCUCAUUCCUCCUCCCUUAGUGCCUGGUAACCUCUAAUCUAUUUUCCAUCUCUAUGUAUGUAUUCUAGAUAUUUUAUAUAAGUAGGAGCUUGCCAUAUUUGUCUUUUUGUGUCUGACUUGUUUCACUCAGCUUCAGGUAAGCACGUCUUUUUCUUGCUCAUGAAUCUGUGUAUCAGCUGGGUUCAGCUCCAGGCUGAGCCUGGGUUCAGUCUGCUCUUCAAGUCUUCGCAUUCUCCUUGGACCAGCCAUUCACUAAGGUAUAUUCUUCUGAAAGAGUCACAACAGCCCAAGGGACAAAGCCAUGCCAAGGAGGCACAUUUAAGGCCCCUGCUCUGGGUAUAUACAUCAAAACUCCCUUGGCCCAAGCAAGUCACAUGGCCAAGUUCAACAUUACUGGGGCAGGGAAAAAUACUCAGCUUACUGUGGCAGAGGGUGCAGAGUCUCAGGCCAAAGGAAAGGAAAAAGAAUGAAGAAUAAUCCAGGCCAGGCGCAGUGGCUCACAUCUGUAAUCCCAGCACUUCAGGAGGCUGAGGUUGGCAGAUAGUUUGAGGUCAGGAGUUCGAGAUCAGCCUGGCCAAGGUGGUGAAACCCCACCUCUACUAAAAAUACAAAAAUUAGCUGGACAUGGUGGCAUGUGCCUGUAAUCCUAGCUACUCAGGAGGCUGAGACAGGAGAAUCUCUUGAACCCGGGAGGUGGAGGUUGCAGUGAGCUGAGAUAGCGCCAGUGUACUGCAGCCUGGGCAACAGAGCGAGACUCCAUCUCAAAAAAAAAAAAGAAUAAUCCAAUGUGCCACACAUAUAGAUGUACACAAGUCAAGUCCCCUCAAGUCACUCCUAAUACUGUUCCCCUUCCAUAGGGAAGCCCUGUGAGUGGUCUUCCUACACACAAACAUAAAAAUAAACACUUGGGUUUUAGGUAUCUAUGUAAGAUCAUAUGGUACUUAUUGUUCUGUGACAUUUUCCACUUAACAGUAAGCUGGACCUCUUUCCUUGCCAAUACAUAGAUAUCUUCCCUGUUCUUAGUAACUGCAGUAGUGUCUCUGAGGAGAGGAGAUCUGGAUACAGAUACACACAGAGAGAAGAUGAUAAGGAGACCCAGGAGGAAGGCGGCCAUCUACAAGCCAAGGAGAGAGAAUGCAGAAGAAACCAAUCCUGUCAACACCUUCAACCUAGCCUCCAGCAUUGUGCAGGAAUAAAUUUCUGUUGUUUAAGCCA